CGUAUUCGUAUGGCUUGUGAA
rnacentral:piRNA from 1 species